CCUACGCGAGGCAGCAGUGAGGAAUAUUGGUCAAUGGGCGCGAGCCUGAACCAGCCAAGUAGCGUGAAGGAUGACUGCCCUACGGGUUGUAAACUUCUUUUAUAAAGGAAUAAAGUGAGGCACUUGUGCCUUUUUGUAUGUACUUUAUGAAUCAGGCUCGGCUAACUCCGUGCCAGCAGCCGCGGUAAUACGGAGGAUCCGAGCGUUGUCCGGGUUUAUUGGGUUUAAAGGGAGCGUAGAGGGGUUGUUAAGUCAGUUGUGAAAGUUUGCGGCUCAACCGUAAAAUUGCAAUUGAUACUGGCAGCCUUGAGUACAGUUGAGGUAGGCGGAAUUCGUGGUGGAGCGGUGAAAUGCUUAGAUAUCACGAAGAACUCCGAUUGCGAAGGCAGCUUACUAAACUGCCACUGACAUUGAUGCUCGAAAGUGUGGGUAUCAAACAGGAUUAGAUACCCCAGUAGUC
rnacentral:rRNA from 1 species